rnacentral:rRNA from 1 species
CAAUAGCGUAUAUUGAAGUUGUUGCAGUUAAAAAGCUCGUAGUCGGAUUUUGGCUGAGAACGAUCGGUCCGCCGUUAGGUGUGCACUGAUUGGUCUCAGCUUCCUGGUGAGGAGGUGUGCUUCACGGCCACUUAGUCACCGUGGUUACUUUGAAAAAAUUAGAGUGUUCAAAGCGGGCUUACGCUUGAAUAUAUUAGCAUGGAAUAACACCAUAGGACUCCUGUCCUAUUUCGUUGGUCACGGGACGGGAGUAAUGAUUAAGAGGAACAGUUGGGGGCAUUCGUAUUUCAUUGUCAGAGGUGAAAUUCUUGGAUUUAUGAAAGACGAACUUCUGCGAAAGCAUUUGCCAAGGAUGUUUUCAUUGA